rnacentral:rRNA from 1 species
AUUGAACGCUGGCGGCAUGCCUUACACAUGCAAGUCGAACGGUAACAGGUCUUCGGAUGCUGACGAGUGGCGAACGGGUGAGUAAUACAUCGGAACGUGCCUAGUAGUGGGGGAUAACUACUCGAAAGAGUGGCUAAUACCGCAUGAGAUCUAAGGAUGAAAGCAGGGGAUCGCAAGACCUUGUGCUACUAGAGCGGCCGAUGGCAGAUUAGUUAGUUGGUUGGAUAAAAGCUUACCAAGCAGACGAUCUGUAGGUGGUCUGAGAGGACGAUCAGCCACACUGGGACUGAGACACGGCCCAGACUCCUACGGGAUGCAGCAGUGGGGAAUUUUGGACAAUGGGCGCAAGCCUGAUCCAGCAAUGCCGCGUGCAGGAUGAAGGCCUUCGGGUUGUAAACUGCUUUUGUACGGAACGAAAAGCCCUGGGUUAAUACCCUGGGGUCAUGACGGUACCGUAAGAAUAAGCACCGUCUAACUACGUGCCAGCAGCCGCCGUAACAC